CAACCGGGCAGACCUCGCGCGAGAGGGAUCGGAUCCUGAACCUUCAUCUUGGAAUCGAAUUUAGUAGCCAACACUUGCAACUCCAAAGACGCCUCUGAUUUUACUUUUUUUUUACACAAGAGUACUUAAACUAACACUGUACUAUCGAUACUAAAGCACAAUAAUUCAAAUAGUCCAAAACAAAUCAACCCAAAUCCAGACAUUUUGAUGCCUAUGUUAUUUGAUUAAACUACUGUUGCUAAUUACUUACUUAUUCCAAAACUAAUCGUUAUGGCAUAAAAAACCAAACGGCAAAACAAGCUCAUGUUAAUACCCCCUGUUACAGUGAAGCAAACCAUCAACCUAGAAAUUUCAAAUUUAUAAACCCACAACAUGUCAAUAUAAGCGUAACAGUCUGUAGUUCAUAGUUUCAAGUCCACGUGUAUAUACCAUUCAUAUAAUACAACACUUUUCAUGUCAAUAUAAACUAAUAUCAACUAUGUCUAAUUAACUAAUAUCUAUUUAGUAAAAAACAUCAGAAGACAUCCAAACAUAUAUAAAUCUGGCAAAUGUUUCAUUUCAACUUCAAUUUCCAUCUACAUUGAGAGAAUUCAAGGGAAGGUAUACCUGGAAACAGAACAAAAUUUCAGAAUAGGAGACAGCUUAGGGCAGUGAUCGAGCAGCAACAGUUCAAUACUCAAAACAGCCCAUGAAUAUAACGAUCAACCCAGAAAUGCUUAAACCAAGCAGAAAUUAACAAAUCCAAUUCAACACAGCAUCAAUUUCCACCGGAAAAGAAUAUAAAUGACCAAACAGCCAACAACAAAACUUUAGAACAGACUGAAGCAAACAAUUCUGAUUUGAAAUCAAUUGAGAGUGACCCAACACACUUUGGAACAGAUUCGGUAAUCAGCGGAAGAGAUGAGCAAUGCCUAGAGCCUCAAACUUCAGCUCGAAGAGCAAUGUAACAGUACCCAUUUUUUUGGGAUUUUUGAAAUUUUUAUAUUUUUUUUUGGUUUUUCUUUUGAAGAAUGCUAAGAUAUAAAGUAAUUUGAAUCUCAAACUUUAAUCUCAGAUCUGAAACUGGAAGGAGCUUUUUUGGGGGAAUUUUUGGGUUGCCAAACUUGCUCUUCAAGGCAUUUUAAUGCCUUUUUAUAUGCAUAAGGGAGGACAACCCUCAAUUCUGCUUUCACUUCAGUCCCUCCCUAUUUUCAACUUUAAUCCUUUAUUUUCCAACUUGUUCCUCAAGCCAAUCCCUUAACUUUUCUAAAAUCUCACUUGAAUCCUAUUCUAGAAGAUUCUAAGGAGUUCUAUUCUAAUUUACAGCAUUCUAUCUGAUUAUUAAGUGCCCAAACUGCCCUUGUUUACUUCUAAAAUUGCUUACCAAACUAUCCUCUAACUGAACAACAGUCAAUUGACUACCACACUAAGAGUUACCAGCGAUAUACAAACAGGUUCAAAUUCAUAUCCUAAAUCCAAACUAAUUAUUGAACUUCAAAUCCCCAAAUACUAUCAACAAUUAAAACAACUCAUCAAAUGACCAUCACAAACUUAGUAUGAAAUUUGGUUGAACCAUUUUGAACAAUUUAAAGAAAAAAUUUAGCGAACCAUUCUUAGCAUCUAAAUCAAGGCGAAACAAUUAAUUAACUAAAACGAAAAUUGAACCUAUUGGUAAAGCACCUCCACCUACGACCGUUAGGUCCUGGAUUCGAGUAACCAGGGAGUGAAAGUGUGGAAGCACUAUAGAUCCUUCUAAAUUGGGAGGGGUUUUAAAAAAAAAAAAGAACCUAUUGACAUCCCUUAUUUUAAAGUGAUAUCAAUCAAACACUAAACAUCUAAAUUAAGAUAAACACUGAACAUGGCUAAUUACUAACAAAAUCAUCAGUAAAUCAGCAAUUCGAAUGACAAUCCGAAUAAUAACAAACUCCAUUACUAAACCUAGAAAAUAAAACUGAGACUAAACCCAUUACUGACACAAAGCAAAUGCGGAAGAGAAAGCCAUAUGCAUAGAACAACAGAAAAACAAAAGAAAUAUUCUAAGGAACUCACUGUUUUGGGAAUCGAAUUAUUUUGAACUCGAAUUGGGCUCCCAAAUAACCUUACACGUCUGUUCUUGAGGGAAUAACCGUAUGAGGUUAUUUAGGAACUCGAAUCGACACCGGACAGUCCUCCAAUGAGACUCCCAUAUCUUCUCAGAAACCUUAGAUCCAAACAUGAAGAUUUAAAGGCGGAUUUGAGGGGUUUUGCGUUGGGAUUCGGGUAGAGGAGGUCAGGGAGAUUGCAUGGUACAAUUUUGGGCUGAUUUGGACCAAAUGUCGACUUAGCUGGAAAAUUUCAAUCUAAGAUUCGAGCAAUCUUGUUGUGAUUCGAAGGAAGCCAAUGUGAUAUUUGGAAUGAGGUUAUUGAAGAGGGUUGGUGAUGUUAUUUUGGGUGGGCACGGUGAAGGUGGCGUUUCCCGCUGACGAGAUAUCCGGCGAGUCUAAGGCUUGAUAUGAGGCAGAAAAGAACAUGUACAAGCAAGAAGACUGCUGUCUCUGAUGCUAAUACACAUUUCAGAUUGCUAUAUGGAAUUGCCCUAAUCGAACACAAACCGUUGGAUGAGAGGUGACA
rnacentral:lncRNA from 1 species